CCCUUAGAUGUUCUGGGCCGCACGCGUGCUACACUGAGUGGAUCAGCGGGUCAGGUUGCGCGAAAGUGUUUCCUAAUCUUUAAAUCCGCUCGUGAUGGGGAUUGACGGUUGCAAUUUUCCGUCAUGAACGAGGAAUACCUUGUAAGCGCGGGUCAUCAUCCCGCGCUGAAUACGUCCCUGCCCUUUGUACACACCGCCCGUCGCUCCUACCGAUUGAGUGGUCCGGUGAGGCUUUGGGAUCUGAGCGGAAAGAGCGUUUCGCUGUUUCUGCCCGGAAAACUUAGUCGAACCUUAUCAUUUAGAGGAAGGAGAAGUCGUAACA
rnacentral:rRNA from 1 species